rnacentral:rRNA from 1 species
CACGUAGGGUGCGAGCGUUGUCCGGAAUUAUUGGGCGUAAAGAGCUCGUAGGCGGUGUGUCGCGUCGGCCGUGAAAACCUGCAGCUUAACUGUGGGCUUGCGGUCGAUACGGGCAUCACUGGAGUUCGGCAGGGGAGACUGGAAUUCCUGGUGUAGCGGUGAAAUGCGCAGAUAUCAGGAGGAACACCGGUGGCGAAGGCGGGUCUCUGGGCCGAUACUGACGCUGGAGACGCGAAAGCCGUGGGGAGCAAACAGG